rnacentral:rRNA from 1 species
AGUAACACGUGGGGAACCUGCCCCAUAGUCUGGGAUACCACUUGGAAACAGGUGCUAAUACCGGAUAAGAAAGCGGAUCGCAUGAUCAGCUUUUAAAAGGCGGCGUAAGCUGUCGCUAUGGGAUGGCCCCGCGGUGCAUUAGCUAGUUGGUAAGGUAAAGGCUUACCAAGGCGAUGAUGCGUAGCCGAGUUGAGAGACUGAUCGGCCACAUUGGGACUGAGACACGGCCCAAACUCCUACGGGAGGCAGCAGGC